UACGGGGGGGGGUAAGCGUUGUUCGGAAUUACUGGGCGUAAAGGGCUCGUAGGCGGCCAACUAAGUCAGACGUGAAAUCCCUCAGCUUAACUGGGGGAACUGCGUCUGAUACUGGAUGGCUUGGAUUCGGGGAGAGGGAUGCAGAAUUCCAGGUGUAGCGGUGAAAAUGCGUAGAUAUCAGGAGGAACACCGGUGGCGAAGGCGGGGUCUCUGGGCAUUAACUGACGCUGAGGAGCGAAAAGCAUGGGGGGAGCGAACAGG
rnacentral:rRNA from 1 species